rnacentral:lncRNA from 1 species
UUAGAAGCUUCCUUUCGAAGCAGAAGCAGUCCCUUUUUGGAACCAGAACUGCAUAAUGAAGGGCGCAGCUCUGCAGAACCCGCACUCCAAUCUUCCCUGGGGCUCUGGAGCUCACAAAGCACUUACUCUCCACCUACCGACACAGCCUCCCGAGAGGAAAUUUUUUGAGCCUGACUCCUCAGAAGCAGUCAAGGGCAGAGAAAGGGAUGGGCUGAAGUUACCGUCUGCGCAUCUGAAGUCACAUGGUCUCUCUUCAGAGGAAAGGCCUUUCAGCUGGGAUGAGGCAGUGAUUUGCAUUUUAGCAGACCUACCCAGCACACAGGGGAUAAAUGCAAACCGCCCAGGUAUUUGGUUCCCUGAUGUGACUGGUAUGGUAAUGAAAGUCCCCAGGGAAGAAUGUACUGCCAGAUUAAUUUGCCAAGAAGCACAUGCAGAUGGCAUCUCACCUGCGCACAGCUUCUCUCCAGAAGAGUGUAAUGAGUUCAGGGAACCAAGCUCAUGGCUUAGCUUGUCCCUUCCCAGUGUAACUCCUGGAAAGGGGUCAGACAGUUUGCCAGGGCGGCUGACCUGUGCAGUCAGGAAGCCAUACUACCAUGUGCUUUGAAAUCAAACCCUGCCCCCUGGCUGCAGGGCCUGCUCGUGUGACCCACCUCCUUGCCUUGCUGUCCGUGGGCUCUCAGUCACCUCACAGGUCCCAGCAAGGGCAGAGCCAUCAAGCCCAAGGCCAUUUCUUACUGCUCAGUGUUGACACAACAGCCUCAGAAGAAUCUGCCACUUCCUGUGCGGGGCAGCACACGGACAGCACGAGGACACUGCAAUUUUGAGCACAUACACUACCAAAUAACUCAUAAAUAUUAGGUCCCAGAAUAAGUUUGGUACUGUAAUAUUGCCAGUACACUCUCGCGCACGGCCCUCAGCAUCCGUCGCACCACUAACCACUCAUACCCCCACUCUGUCCUUCUACCCUCUUCUGAAAGCCAGAGAGGAGCUGCUCGCUUGGUCUGUCUGUGCAGUGAUGGAACAGAGCACAGCAGCCAUUUUGCUGGGUCACUGUGGGGGCUGUGAGCCCAAAGAAGGGUACAGGUUACAACGCAUGGCUUAAGGUUAGGGUUAGGAUGCAUAUGAGAGGAAGCAUCGUGUGGAUGGGGACCACAGUACUCCUUCCUCUGCAGCCUCUCCUCAUGAUGGCAUUCCCUAAGGCCAGGUCCUGUUUCCUCCCAGGAAAUGGGUGGGACAGAACAGAGACCAUCAGAUGAAGACCUUGAUCCCCUUGCUCCAAACCUUUAUUAAUACUACAGCAUGGUAUUUUCAAUAAAUUUUUGCCAUCAGUUUGGUGACAGUUCUAAAGACAUCAACUGCCAGCGUGAGGGCACUUGGACACAGUGAUCAGAUCAUCUUUUGGGACAGAUAGCAGAGUUCCCUCAUUGUGAUGGAACAGGCACGUUUCUUAACAUGUAAAAUAUAUCUGAAGUGAAGCGAGCAGAAGGCACUAUGUGAAUGUGAAAAAUGUGAAUAUGCUUUUUUUUUUUUUAUUGACUGAGCUAGUUCUUUGAGUUUCUGGAGUCCCAGGCACAAGCUUCCAUAUUCAAAGCUACUCCUUGUCUGUGGGAUGAGACAGCAAAUAAAAUACACACGAGGUGCCCUAAUUCUGCAUGGCCCAGGAGAGUUUUGAUGUUUGCUUUUCUGGCAGGAUGCACUUUCCCUUAUCCAAGUUACAGUAGCUAAUCAUUUAUGAAUGAUCACAGUGUUCUGCCAAAAUGCAUGCAAGUAAAAAUACAUCAUAACCUCUUUCCACUGCACUCUGGGGAUGCAUGUCAU